GGAACGUUACUUAUUUAUUUGCCAUUAACAUUAACACUAGAUAUUUAUAUUGCAUUCCGGUGAAAGGGAAAACAGAACAGGAAACAAGAAGAGCUAUUCAAUACUUACUAGAUCCUAAUUGAAGUAGCGAUUAUCCAGGCUUGUAUCCUGGGGGCUGAUGAGGAGUAGGGUUUCUGGACAACUUAAACAGAUCCAGAGUUAGUCGAUCCUAAUCUCAAUAAUGGGAGAAAGGGAGUACAGUUGAUAUUCUGUAACUGACAACAGUUCGCGGCAACGCAUACUAUUUUUCUCCGCCAAUCUUAUACCGUUGGUAGGGAUCUCUUUCCUACAUGACAGUACUAAUACCCAGGGAAACUGGUCAUCAGGCGAACUGCGGCGUUCUGCUGGCAAAACAUAGCUUCGGUUAUGUCAAUGGCUAUUGGAUUGGUCCAUGAAGCGAAAAAUAGUUUACUGUGUCACUCGUACCGAUAACCGCAUCAGGUCUUCUAGGUAAGUAGCCUAUGGCCAUUGAGGCAUGAUAGUUCAGGGAAUUCGGCCAAUUAGAGCUGUAACUUCGGGAUAAAGCUUGGCUCUGAUGAAAAUCAGAACCGAUUGUUACGCGGAGAGCCCAACUGUUUAAUAAAAACGUAGUGUCGCGCUGUGGUAGUAUAGCCAGUGAACGCGACAUGAAUCCUGCUCAGUGCUGUGUCUGUUAAUAUGGUUCAAGCCAACGAAGCACCGGUAAAUAGCUGGGGUAACUAUGACUCUUAUCAAAGUAGCGAAAUACCUCGUCACUUAAUUAGUGACCUGCAUGAACGGAGCUAUGAGGGUUCUCACUGUCCCAAACUGUCUCUCAGCGAACCAACUGUAGUGGGAACGGUCACUAGAUAUCCAGCGGGGAAAGAAGACCCUGUAGAGCUUCACUUUGGU
rnacentral:ncRNA from 1 species